UCAUUUGAUGACCUGUGCCCAUUAAUCCC
rnacentral:piRNA from 1 species